CCUUUGGCCAAUUCUUCUGGCAGUCAGAGGGAUUGUGAAUCUAGCGCAGUGUCUGCAAACCACAUUGAUGAGGAGGAAAUAUUCAGGAGAGCAAGAGAAGAAGGACGAGUGAAUGUUAUCUUUCCCGGCCGUGUCACCCAGGAUGGCUGCUGUAGAUUUGUUUGUGAGCUUCUGAAGUGUGUCCUUUACCAGCGGCAGCAGAUGCCUUUGACAUAUGACCAAAUGACAGAUGAUAUGAUAAACCAACGGUCUGCAAAGACAUCUGAGGGCUUGGACUGGCGUCGAUGCCAGCGGACAUUACAGGACCUAUAUGAAGUGCUGGCCCACCUUUAGGCAUUGUUCUCUCUUAGCCAAGUUCUUCGCGUGUUUUUAAUGCUAGGUGGAUCUACCGUCCUUCCCACCGAGCUGUAUGAGGUGAACAUGGAAGCGGUGGCCAUGGGAGCUGGGGAAAACUGCUUAAGGACUUCAGCCUGUCUAAGGCAGCUUUUCCGCACAUUGUUUGUGGCUGACCUGUUGUCAGAUGCCAAGUCUGUGCGCCUCAUGACUACCACGGUCAUGGCUCUGGGUCACCGGGAUUGUGGGGUGACUGGGUUUAAGCCCAAAGUCUCCACUGAAGCACAAAAUGUAACAUUCUUGCGGAUCUAACUAUAUAUUAUUAUUCAGCGAUAUUUACUCUUAUGUAAUAAUGGAAAAGAUAGAUCUGAUGAUAUUGGUGAUUUACUAAAUGAAGGCUUUUGUUCAACCGGUUUGCUGUAAAUGCCUGGGGACAUGUUACAACCAUGGUUUCAGUCAUAGAUUAUAAAAACAGGUUUUAACCGUUUCAACCCAGAGAGAUUGCAUAUGAGAGUUGUCUUUUAAAUAAAGCUCUGUGACUUUA